rnacentral:rRNA from 1 species
UGGAAGGUAAAAAACGUAACAAGGUCUCCGUAGGUGAACCUGCGGAGGGAUCAUUACUGAGUUUCUAACUCUCCAAACCAUGUGAACCUUACCACUGUUGCCUCGGUGGAUGGUGCCUCGCAAGGGGCGCUGCCGCCGGUGGACAAACCAAACUCUUGUAUGUCAUGUCAUUCUGAAUCAAAACUAAGAAAUAAGUUAAAACUUUCAACAACGGAUCUCUUGGUUCUGGCAUCGAUGAAGAACGCAGCGAAAUGCGAUAAGUAAUGUGAAUUGCAGAAUUCAGUGAAUCAUCGAAUCUUUGAACGCACAUUGCGCCCAUUAGUAUUCUAGUGGGCAUGCCUGUUCGAGCGUCAUUUCAACCCUUAAGCCUAGCUUAGUGUUGGGAGACUGCGCUAAACCGCAGCUCCUCAAAACCAGUGGCGGAGUUUAUCGUGCUCUGAGCGUAGUAAUUUCAUUCUCGCUUCUGUGGACCGGUAGACGACAGCCAUAAACCGCACCCUUCGGGGGCACUUUUUUAAAGUGACCUCAGAUCAGGAAAAAAUAAACCGCCGC